AAAGGGGGAGGGAAAGCUUAUGACAUCGUCUUAUGUAAAUAUUCCGCCCUUUCCGUAGAACCCCACUCUGAACCAGGCCUUGUGCUAGAUGAAGGGGACUCCGAGAUAAAACAGAUUCCUGCGUGGCAGUGAGCAUUUCCCUCUUACAGUACAUUGUUCUACCUGUCUAAAGGUCUCACCUCACCCCGAAGCAAAGCUCAGUGCUGAAGGGGAGGCUAAGUCUGGCUCCCUAUGAAAACAACCCCAGAGGCAAACUGUUCCCUUCUGCAGGCCUGAUCCCUGGACGUGGAUUCCCAGGCUCGGUGUCAGGAGAGCUGCAGCCCAUCCAGCUGGGGCUCAUUCUCAGGCCUUUAGCUAGUCUUCCCUCUGCACUGUUACCCUCGUCUUUCUCCUGAUUCUCUGGGCUUUAUCCUGCCAUUUGAGCACCGGAGUUGAACCUAGGCUUUUAAGAAAAUUCCAACUAAGAAAAAAACGAAAUACUCUGGGUGAGAGAGCAGUCAUUAGAAGGUUCUAGAACAGUCCUUGAGGAGGGCCAGCACACAGAAUGUGUCUUUUGCCACAGUGUUCCAAGGGAAUAUUUUUCUUGUUACUCACUGCAACAGCUGGUCUGGAAUCUCCCUAUUUGUUAGAGUGAAAGAAUUUGGCAAGAAAAAUUCCGAAUCUUUUCACUCACCCCUCUGUAAGUCAGCUGUGGACCUCAGGACAGGUGAAAACAAAGCUAUCAGACAGGUUAUUCAUUUACAAAUGAUUCAGGGAACCAAAAUUUUCUUUCUGACUUUCCCACCCCCAGGCAGGGAGUUCUGGUAGGGAAACAACAAAAGCAGAGUUACUGGCCUGGAUCUCCAGGCCUCUGCUCUCCCAAGAUGAUCACAUUCCAUUCUGGAAUGUAAUGGUGCUGAAGGAGGCCAGAAUGGUUAUGUGGGAGCAUCAAAAAGAACAAAAUAUUCAUCAGGAGUGAUUUUAGCCACAGAAAUUCACAUCCUGUAUGUUGAAAACAACAGGACACCACUGACAGAAUUUUAGAAUACGUAAACAAAGCAGCCCGUGUUUGUGAC
rnacentral:lncRNA from 1 species